GACGAACCGUGCGAACGUUGUUCGGAAUCACUGGGCUUAAAGGGCGCGUAGGCGGGCUAUCAAGUCCGGGGUGAAAUCCUCCCGCUCAACGGGAGAACUGCCUCGGAUACUGAUGGUCUCGAGGGGGAUAGGGGCAGUCGGAACAGACGGUGGAGCGGUGAAAUGACGUAGAUAUCGUCUGGAACGCCAAAGGUGAAAACAGACUGCUGGGAGUGUGCUGACGCUGAGACACGAAAGCCAGGGGAGCAAAGCAGGGG
rnacentral:rRNA from 1 species